rnacentral:rRNA from 1 species
GACGAACGCUGGCGGCGUGCUUAACACAUGCAAGUCGAACGGAAAGGCCCUGCUUGCAGGGUGCUCGAGUGGCGAACGGGUGAGUAACACGUGGGUGAUCUGCCCCUGACCUUGGGAUAAGCCUGGGAAACUGGGUCUAAUACCGGAUAUGACCAAGGAUUGCAUGGUUCUUGGUGGAAAGCUUUUGCGGUUGGGGAUGGGCCCGCGGCCUAUCAGCUUGUUGGUGGGGUAAUGGCCUACCAAGGCGACGACGGGUAGCCGACCUGAGAGGGUGAUCGGCCACACUGGGACUGAGACACGGCCCAGACUCCUACGGGAGGCAGCAGUGGGGAAUAUUGCACAAUGGGCGCAAGCCUGAUGCAGCGACGCCGCGUGAGGGAUGACGGCCUUCGGGUUGUAAACCUCUUUCAGCAGGGACGAAGCGCGAGUGACGGUACCUGCAGAAGAAGCACCGGCCAACUACGUGCCAGCCGCCGCGGUAAAAC